CAUGCUUGUUAAAGACCGUGGGAAACUGAGGUGAAAUUUCAGGAUGCAACAUCCCUUUGCAACAAAUGCAGAGGUAAAGGACCAGAUUUUAGGUGGUGUAAAAUUGCCAAAGAGCUACUAAAAUUAUGAAGAUAAGAAAUAGAUGUACUAUGAAUGAUCAGUCCGGUAAGAGAUCCCAGCUGUUGAAGCAAAUGAUAAUUAAAGGCACCAGAACUUCAUUUCCUAUGGCGCCAUUUCAGAUUCAGUAUUUUCCCUGUCUCAGAACGAUGGGGCGUUUUGAACUCUCCCUGGCUGUAGUGCAUCAGUGGAGAAGCUGGCCAGCUAGAGAAUUCAGCACAAAAAGCAAACAGCAUUUCCUACAAUAGCGGAGAAGAGAAUUUGGAGAAGUACAGCACUGUGGAGUCUCAGAAGAAUACAUAGGAUCUCUCAUUGUUUUACCCCAUCGGCAACAGACUUGAAAAAAAAGAUUGCAGGAAAUGGUUAUUGGUGCGAAUAUUUGCCGACCCUUUAUACAAUGAACAUGAAGCAAGAAUGAAAGGAUUUUAAAAUGAAGAUUUUAAAAUGCUGUAACUGUCCAUUUAGGACUGAUUCUUGGACCAUUUGGCCAUCCUUGUGGCCGGGCAAACUUCUCAAGGGACAAGGAAGAUGGCUAAGGCUGAUGGUUGCUUCAUCAUCCUGGGGUAAUUCACUGCCAAAUGUGUGUGAGCACCCCAGCUGAAGAGCUUGGGCUGAAGGAACUGAAGCACGCAGCACGCUGAGCAUGGCAGCAAAGGAAGCAGCACAAGUGUGAUAUGUUGAGCACUUGCCACAAACAGCCCUGAGGAGGCUAUUAACCAGGUGGUAUCUGACAUCAUCCAGAGACAAACUUCAGUGACUUCCUUUUUUAUCUUUUGCUCCGAAUGGGAAAAUAUGGUUCUGUGUUCUGGAUUUUCAUAGUGCCUCUGGGGAUAUAAGCAAAAAGUAAACAAGAGUACCUGUCCCACCCCAUGGAUUCUACUUCUGUCCAAGGGAGCAGACACUGUGCUGAGUACUGGUCAGCUGGCUUUACCACAGGAUGAGGCCAGAAAUUUUUGAGUACAACUGUCAGCUAACAAACAAAGAAGGACUGGUUGGAGAUGUGAAGGUUGGAGGCAGUCUUGGCUGCAGUGACCAUGAGAUGGUGGAGCUCAGGAUCCUGUGAGGAGGAAGCAGGGCAGUAAGUGGAAUUGCAAUCCUAGACUUUAGGAGAGCAAACUUUGGCCUCUUCAGGGACCUACUUGGAGGAAUCCCAUGGGUUAGGGCCCUAGAAGGAAGGGGAGUCCAAGAGAACUGGUUAAUAUUCAAGCCUCACUUCCUCCAAGCUCAAGAUCAGUGCAUCUCUGUGAGUAAGAAGUCAAGCAAAAGGGGCAGGAGACCUACAUCGAUGAGCAAGGAGCUCCUGGCAAAACUCAAACAGAAGAAGGAAGUAUACAGAAUGUGCAGAAAGGGACAGGCCAUUUGGGAGGAAUACGGGAACGUUCUCAGAGUAUAUAGGGAUGCAAUGAGGAAGGCCAAGGCCUAUUUGGAAUUAAAUCUGGCAAGGGAUGUCAAGGACAACAAGAAGGGCUUCUUCAAAUGCAUCAGUAGCAAAAGGAAGACUAGGGAAAAUGCGGGCCUGUUGUGGAAUGGGGUGGGUGCCCUGGUGACAAAGGAUACAGAGAAGGCAGAAUUACUGAAUGCCUUCUUUGCUUCAGUCUUUACUGCUAAGGCCAGCCCUCAGGAAGCCCAGAGCCUGGAGACAAGAGAGAAAGUCUGGAGAAAGGAAGACUUUCCCUUGGUUGAGGAGGAUCGGGUUAGAGGUCAUUUGGGCAAACUUGACACCCACAAAUCCAUAGGCCCUGAUGGGAUGCACCCACAAGUGCUGAGGGAGCUGGUGGAUGUUAUUGCUAGGCCACUCUCCAUCAUCUUUGAGAUGGGGAACAGGAGAGGUGCCUGAGGACUGGAAGAAAGUCAAUGCCACUCCAGUCUCCAAAGAGGGCAAGAAGGAGGACUCAGGGAACUACAAGCCUCACCUCCGUCCCUGGAAAGGUGAUGGAGCAGCUCAUCCUGGAUGUCAUCUCUAAGCAUGUGGAGGAAAAGAAGGUAAUCAGGAGUAGUCGGCAUGGAUUCACCAAGGGGAAAUCAUGUUUAACCGACCUGAGAGCCUUCAACAAUGGAAUGAGUGGCUGCGUAGAUGAGGGGAGAGCAGUGGAUGUUGUCUACCUCAACUUCAGGAAGGCUUUUGAUGCUGUCUCCCAUAACACCCUCAUAGGUAAGCUCAGGAAGUGUGGGUUAGAUGAGUGGACAGUGAGGUGGAUUGAGAACUGGCUGAAUGGCAGAGCUCAGAGGGUUGUGAUCAGCAGCACAGAGUCUAUUUGGGGGCCUGCACCUGGCGGCAUCCCCCAGGGGUCAGUAGUGGGUCCAAUCCUGUCCAACUUAUUCAUCAAUGACCUGGAUGAAGGCACAGAGUGCAGCUGCAGCAGGUUUGCUGAUAAUACAAACCUGGGAGGAGUGGCUGAUACCCCAGAGGGCUGUGCUGCCAUUCAGAGAGACCUCGGCAGGCUGGAGAGUUGGUUGGAGAAGAACCUCCUGAAGUUCAGCAAAGGCAAGUGCAGGGUCCUGCACCUAAGGAAGAAUAACCCCAUGCACCAGUACAGGUUGGGGGUAGGCCAAAUUGUCUCCUGGGGUGCACUAGGAAGAGUGUUGCCAGCAGGUUGAGGGAGGUGAUCCUCCCCCUCUACUCAGCCUUUUGUUAGGACUGCCAAAGGUCUCCAGCCAGGCUAAAACUAAAAUUCAUAACGUUUUGAUGUUUCAUUUUUUCAUCAGCUUCUGUCACUGUGCGUAGGACUCGUUCACUUAAAUGUCUGUGACAGUGUCUGAGGAGCUUUCCUCUUACAGUAGGGUCGAUACCCACUUCCGUAGUUGGAGCAGCAUUAUUCUUUUUUUAGGUUUUCUUCCUGGUAGAGGUUGGUAACCCCUUAUUUGGGUAAAGCAGCCAAAUCUCAACCCUUUCUUUGCAGCCUCGUCAGUGUGUAUCUGGGAGAAGACACGACUUCAAAUUGCCUUGCUUUGGGACAGGGGGGCUUGACCAGGUGAUCUCCAAAUGUCCUUUCCAACCCCAAUUAUUCCAUGAUCCUGUGAUUUAUUGUUCUCUCUGUAUUUCUAUGCCUAGUGGCUUGGAGGAGUACCUUCAUUUGUGCAGGAGGUACGGCAGAGAUAUUCCCAAUGUGACCGUGAGAAGUCUGAGAUCGAGGAGCCUUCCUUCCCUUUAGCUCAUUACUCUGCUUUUGCAGAAUGGUCAGAAAGGGAACUGUCAAAAAUGGUGAUACCCACAAGUGUACAUUUUUGUCUAAUCUUAACAGGGAGAAUCAAUUCAGAAAAUUAUGAUAAGUUCUACUUACAUUUUAGCCUUUAAUGAGACAACCCUUUGCAUUUUAAUUAGUGACUCUCAGCUCAGUUAUUAGAGAUUGUGCAUCAUAUAUGAAUGACUGAACUGUUACAAUCAUUUCACCUACAACUUUUGUAAUUUUCCUCAGUAUAUUCCAGCACCACAGUCAAGUAAAAGAAAUUCCACUCUUUCAUAGAAAAGAAUUUGAGCUAAUGUCUUUAUAUGUUAGUAGAAAGUUCAGACUGUGAGUAAGGUUUUCUAUAUUUAAAAAGUAUUGCAGCUUGAGAUAUACCUACCUUUCCCAGCUCCCAAUAGAUAUAUAUAGUUUAGUAGAUAAAGCUUAUAAUAGCCAACUAAUUCUGUUGAAUAAGUUACACAAGUUUCUCACAUAGAGUAAGCUGCACUGCCAAAAGUUCUUUUGCCAGUAUAGCUGUUUUAGCUAGGGUAUGAUUUUUUCAAGGCUUCAACCAAUGGACUGUAUUGUACUAAACUUUCAGAUGUGGAAUAAGCCUGGGGAAUCAUCUGUCUUUUUUUUAACACUAAAAACUCACUGACUAGAGACUUCUUCCUGUGAGUUUAUACAGGUAUCUUGGCUUAAUAAUUGGAAUUACCAGUGUAAAACAGACAAAUACCAAUCUGCCUUAUGCAGAAAGUAAGCAAGAAAAGCUUUUCUGCUUAUCCUUUCAUAAGCUGUUGUUUAAUCUAAACCAAAGUGAUUAAUGGCAUUUUACACUGAAAUUCUUCCUGGGAUAAUAAAUAAUACAUUGUUGGCAGAUUUGGGGGAAAGGCAAGGGGUAAGCCAAACCUUGAUCCAAAACCACAAAAGUCAAUGGCCUCUGCAUUAGUGCUAAAAUAUGCUUUUUGGCUAUAAUGAGAGAGGAAAUUUUCAGCCAGAAGCUUAUGAGGUGCUAGCUAGUUCCUUUAUGAAAAGGAGCAGGUCAGGAAAUUCAGUCUAAAGAGCAAGAUUACACUCUACGUGGGAUCAAAUGAUGGCUUCCUGCUUACCUCUUCUCUCCAUAAGGCCAUACCAUGGCUUUGCUCAUGCAUGGGGUACGCUAAUGCUGUCUGAUAGGCUCCAUCACAUUGAGUGGCAUUUUUAUAGCUCUGCAGUUGCACUAAAAUCAAUGCAACAUUCCCACUAUCACUAGAAAAGCUACUGCUCUCUGGCUUUUGAUAAGAAGCACUACCCACCGGACCUGGGAGCCCUGAUUUGUAUCUGUGAGCAGCAUCACUGAAAGCCAUGGACACCACUACUCUAUGUGUACAUAUACAAGUAGAGGCUUGGCUCUUUGACUUUUCAUUACAGCUUAUAUUUGGACAUCAUGUGGCAGAGCCUACGAUGACUGGUUUUUGGUAUCCUUCCUCACAUGGAGCAGUAGUUAACUGUAGAUAGUUCUGUUAAAAUGAAUGGGGCUGUUUACAGAGUAAGAUACUGCCUAACCUCGUCCUCAUCAGGAACGAGCAGUCUGUUGGAGAUACUACAUCUGAACUCCACAAACUGUUAAAAAUGCAGCUGUUGCAUUCUCACUUGAUUUUAACUGUGCAUAUGUUUCUUGACUUGCUGCUGCACCUCCUCAGACAGGAAGAGGAAAUCCUUGCCUUAAAAGUGAAGAUGCAUUUAGAUAUUGUUUAAUAGCUCUUGUGCUUGAUUUUGGAGAGUAGGUUGCAGGUAAUUCAUAGAGUCAUUUAGAAAGCAACCACAGAGGUCUCUAAUCUGAACUCCUGCUCAAGGCAGGCUUAUCUAUGAGAUCAGACCAGGUUGCUCAGUCUGGUAUUGAAAAUCUCCAAGGGUAGAGACUGCACAACCUCCUCUUUCAGCUGGUAAAAAUUACAGAUAAUUAUUGACUUGCAUAUUGUUUGAUCUCAGUCCUCCUCUUAGAAACACAAUAUUUUCAUCAAUAAUUUGAUAUAUCCACCAAGAAAAUAAAUCACUUUGGUUUAAAAGAUUUCUUUGAGAUUGAACUCCAUUUGUUCCUCCAUUUUGGUGGAUAAACCAGAAGCUAGGAAACAAGGCUAGCUGCCAGAUGUAAUUUCAAGGCUUUUCUCUCUGCCACAAGCUUCUGUGUGUAAUUUUGCAUACCAUGCUUCUCACCUCUAUUUUCCACACAGGGAAAUGAGUUGCAGAUGUUUUAUGAAAAUAGAUAUGAGGUUGUAAGACACCUAAUAGUACAGGAAUUGGAGCCUUAGAAGUACUUGAAUUUUGUGGAUAAAUGGUUGCUGGUCUUUUUUGUCAUGUUUGUACCUUUUUAGAGACUCAUCCUCCAUGUGAACUGAGAAAACUGCUACAUUGUAAAUGGGCAAACUCCAUUGUAUUUUCCAAUGUUAUGGAAUAUUAAAAUAAUAUUUCUGUAUCUGCUAAGUGCACUUUUAAAAGUUACAGAAUUUAUUUACUUACAUUUUUUCAUACCUAGGUUAUGGUCUGCUACUAUCUUUUCCAACUUAGGAUAUGUAUUUCUACUUAGAUCAUCAGUAAAUCAGGAAUUAAUGCUUUAUACCAGAUGUUAUAUGAACAACUGCUUUGUUAAAAUAGAAACCAGUUAUAUAAUGCCGCUGAGUCCAUCUUUCAACACUUGAGAACAUGCUUCCCACCCCCCGGUCAGCUUUUCUUUCUCAGCUGUGCUCCACAAUUACUUUCAGAAUUGAUUAACUUCCAGUUUAUAAUGACAACUCUAGCAGUUGUGAAAUAACCAAAGUCAGCACUUCUUCCAAUGUUGCAUCUUUGUGAACUGAUUCAACCCAUUUUGUAGUUAUUGAGUUGGACAUUUUCUCAGUACUCAGGGGCUGGUGCCAGCUAAGAAGUCUUAAAGCCUCUCAACCUCCAAACAAGUUUUUUUUUUCCCCUAUUGUUAUUAAUGUGAGGGGUUUUAAAAUAUUUUCUUUCUGAAAAUAAAGUUACAGAACUAGGCAAAAAGCUGAGGUUUGCCAUUGUGGGUCACAAAACUGAACUCUAAGGGAGCCCUUGAGAGCCUAAAUUCCUACAGACAAGAAAGGAAAUUCUGCCUGAGAAGGCUGACCAGGCCACCCGUUUGACUUACCUACAUUCUUCCCAGCUUUUUGUGAGCGUUGUGGAAAGGUCGGAAAGAUUAUUUUUCUUACAAUAAGAUUUUCCAGAGCACAACUUCACUAUUCAAAGUUUGAAAUUUUCCAUAGCUCAGGUGAGGAUCCUUUGUUAGUAUGUUGUUAAGGAUUUCUUUUUUAUUUUAAUGUCAUGGAUUUAACUCUCAUAUUAUUUCCCUGUUUUGUUAUGGAUCAUGUUAUCUUAUCCCGCCAUGGAGUCUCGAGUACCUUACUUAACUCAUUGUUUAGAAGUAGACUCAUCUGAAAGUAUCAUUUCUUUGACGAGACAAUAGGCUUUCAGCUAUUGUUUCAAAAACUCUACGCAGGGUAACUUCACUGAAAGCAACAGAAACCAUUUGCUUAUGUUAAAUUACUUCAAAUCUAGGCAAAUUAUUUUCUUACUGUACCUUAGGCUAUAAAAAGAAUAAAGAUACAGAAAACUUCAAGAGGUAUUUUUAUCAGAUUUUGCUUAGGAUCUUCUGCAAAACCAGUCUGAAAUAUGUGAUUAAGUUUUUCAUCCAUCUUUCCUCUCCAAGCAUUUUAGAAUUCAUUGAAAUUCAUCAAUUAGAAAAACCCAGAAAUUAUUUAACUAUUCUAAAGUAAGGAAUUUUCUUUAUAAUUUCUUCUUCUCAAAUUCUAAAUUCCCUGAGAAAUAAUUGAUAAAUGUUCUAAAACUCUUUGGAAAUUAUUCAUUAUAAUAAUUAUUUUAUAAAAGCAAAUGGAGUGAGCAUAUUUUGAAAAUAUCUGUGGGGUGUGAAAGCCAUUUCUUUCUCUAUUUUUCCCCUUUUUAGCCCCCCCCCCCCAUACUUGCAGUAGUAUCAGUUUAACAUAUACACUGUGACAAUCAUCUUCUUAUGCAAAGGACCAUGCACAGCAGGCCCUCCCGCAGGAGUACUACUGAAGAUAAAUGAUGAGGAACAAUCCUACCUUUUAAUCUCUUGAAAGAACUUCACCAAUAUUCUUCUCUGCAUUACUGCACAAUUAUUCCUAAUUCCUUAUCACAAAAGUUUUAUGCCAUUUUUAGUGAAGUGACAGAACUGGGAUCCAAAAAUAACCCCUGGUAGAAAUCUCUCAGAUUAUUUUAACUAGAUUGUGCCUACCUAAGGCAGAUAUUGCUUCCCAUUUUCUGCUUUUCUCAUGGGGAUGAAUGUCGUGUUGUCUUGCAGCUGAAUGGAUGUGGAGAAAGCAGCAGGUGAGAGGGUGUUACGUUCUGGUUUCGGGAACUUGCACAUUAGGGAGCUGGCAUUUUGAGUGGUUGCACCCGUGAUUAGAGGUUGCUGCAGAAUUUGCCAGGCUGGAACUAAAAUGUAGUCCUUGCCCCUGUGUGAACAUCCAGAGGAUUCAAAUUGUCAUGUUUUUCUCUUUCAAUUCUACUCCAAAUGAAGCAUCUUCCAAUAUGUCUGUAAACUUAUUUCCUUGUCUUUAUGAUAAUAUUAAUCUCUUCCUUGAGCUUCCUGUUAAAUAACAGUAUCCGAUUACUGCUCUAUUCUGUGCUAUAGCCACUCUUAGAAGUAUUGGUCCAAAAUUUUUACUUUCAUUUUCAAAGGAAACCAACUGAAGAGGCUGCAGUUCUUCAGCUGGUUCCCCCAGCCAACUCAUUUUCCUCCAUGUGUCUUUCCAAGCUAGUUGCAUAUAUUCAGGCAGCCUCAGCUAGGCCUUAGCUAUUCUGGGUUUACAAGUGAUGACCAUGGUAUCACUUCUAAGGAAUCAUGACCUUGAGUGUGAGUAGAAAGCAAAACAUCCUGAUGAGAAACUGUAGUAAAAAUUUAUCUUUACUGUAAAUCAGCUAGAAAAGGAGAAAAAAGAAAAAAGAUUUUAGUGGUUCCUGUUGGUUUAGUUUUUAUUCUAAGUGGUACUUCAGUAUCCAGAGCUAAGAAGUGCUCAUAUUUGUCAUCAUGUUGUUAUCAUCACUUGUGACCAAAAAAGUGCCAGUUUACAAGCAAUGGCACCAGAGUUAUAGCAAUCUGGACAGCUGUUGAGAUGAGUUUUGUCAGUUGCUAUGAAAUCUGGUAAGAAAUGUUCAUAUCCAGCAAAACUUGAGUUAGCGCAAACAUUUUGACAGAAAGAAUGCCUCUAUAAAGCCUUAAGACUUCAAUAGAGCCCCAGUUAACAGAUACGUCAAUAGACCAAUAUCUUCUUGAUCUCAGCUAUAUAUAUAUGUGUAUAUAUAUAUGUUGGUAGGUAGGUAUAUGUAUAUAUAUAUUAAAAAAACCCGCACAGAUAUGUUUAUAUAUGAGCAUGUGUAUAUCUUUUCUUUCUUUGCUGUUGAGCUGCUGUAUAUUUGUUUCAAAUUGCAGAUGUAAUCAUAUUUUUAAACAAAAACAAGUUUUCUUUAAAAUUGAUUUCCAUAUGUUCUACCCUUUCUGCUCUGUCUUUAAAAAGACAGCAUACAAGGCUCUUGAAAGAAGUUGGACUUGCUUAAGCAGUCUAUGCAAAUUUUCCGUACUACAUCAGUAUUUUGACAGAUGGCAACAUGCGCAUAAUGCUGGUUUCUCUGCCAGCAAAACCACAAUGAGAAAUGUAAAUGUUUAAGUACAAGAGAACAAAUAACCUUUUAAAUUAAUACAAAUAUUUUAAGAUAAAAUAAUCAAGUAUUAGAAAAAAACCAUAUGAUCUUGCAUGUAUACAUACUGCAUGUCUCUUCAAUGUUAUUCCCAGUGAUACACAAGCUGAAUGUCAAAGCCAGCAUAGAUUGUGAGACUAUGUUCUUAUACUGUGUGGAAUUCUAAUAAAGAUGCAAAAUGCUGACUACUAGAAGAUUUCUAUACAUUCAAAGCAUAUAUAAUUAUGCACGCAAUAUCUCUAUGUUUCUGUUUUACAAAUAUAGCUUAUCAGUUUUAGUUGAUGUUUAAGCCAUUUUAAAUUUGCAAGCAGGGCACACAUAUGUAUUUUUAAAAGAUUAAGAAGGUUGAAGUCCAUAUGGGUUGAAUUGCACUGAAGACCAAUAAAUAUGUUUUAGACGGAAAGUUUCAGGUAGCAAUAAAGUAUGAAUACAGUCUGGAUUUUGCUGAACAAAAUCAUUUAUUUUAAUACUAUUAAACUCUGUUAUACAUUUCCUUUGUAUAGCCUACUAUUAA